CGAUCCCAGCACCUUCGCCAGUCUUCAGAAAGUGAAUCCUAGAGGAUGGUGACUCGGCCAGGGGCUCCCCUUCUUCCUCUCCCCUUACAGGCUCUUCUCCAUUCUGGCUAAGCAUGGAACAAAAACUUUGUUCUAGAUCUACCAGUUCCAUGUCUACGACCAGUGCACAAGAACCAAACUAUUCUGCUUCUGCUAACUCCUCCAUCUUUAGUCUACCAAUGACUUGGUUCUUAGGAUUCCCUGACACUUGGAAUCUCCCAGUUCCAUUUAAGUGUUACUUGACAGUCUCAAGUUCAGAGAAGGGACAACAGAUAGUGGUUCUGUUGUGUCUGAGAAAUAAGGCCAGCAACUGUGUGCCCUUGCACUGAA
rnacentral:lncRNA from 1 species